rnacentral:rRNA from 1 species
UACGUAGGGUGCGAGCGUUAAUCGGAAUUACUGGGCGUAAAGCGUGCGCAGGCGGCUCUGCAAGACAGAUGUGAAAUCCCCGGGCUUAACCUGGGAACUGCAUUUGUGACUGCAAGGCUAGAGUACGGUAGAGGGGGAUGGAAUUCCGCGUGUAGCAGUGAAAUGCGUAGAUAUGCGGAGGAACACCGAUGGCGAAGGCAAUCCCCUGGACCUGUACUGACGCUCAUGCACGAAAGCGUGGGGAGCAAACAGG